CCUUUGUACACACCGCCCGUCGCUACUACCGAUUGAAUGGCUUAGUGAGAUCUCCGGAUUGGCUUUGAAGGACUGGCAACGGUCUCUCGUCGCUGAGAAGCUGAUCAAACUUGGUCAUUUAGAGG
rnacentral:rRNA from 1 species